rnacentral:rRNA from 1 species
GAUGAACGCUGGCGGCGUGCCUAAUACAUGCAAGUCGAGCGAACGGACGAGAAGCUUGCUUCUCUGAUGUUAGCGGCGGACGGGUGAGUAACACGUGGAUAACCUACCUAUAAGACUGGGAUAACUUCGGGAAACCGGAGCUAAUACCGGAUAAUAUUUUGAACCGCAUGGUUCAAAAGUGAAAGACGGUCUUGCUGUCACUUAUAGAUGGAUCCGCGCUGCAUUAGCUAGUUGGUAAGGUAACGGCUUACCAAGGCAACGAUGCAUAGCCGACCUGAGAGGGUGAUCGGCCACACUGGAACUGAGACACGGUCCAGACUCCUACGGGAGGCAGCAGUAGGGAAUCUUCCGCAAUGGGCGAAAGCCUGACGGAGCAACGCCGCGUGAGUGAUGAUGGUCUUCGGAUCGUAAAACUCUGCUAUUAGGGAAGAACAUAUGUGUAAGUAACUGUGCACAUCUUGACGGUACCUAAUCAGAAAGCCACGGCUAACUACGUG